rnacentral:rRNA from 1 species
GACGAACGCUGGCGGCGUGCUUAACACAUGCAAGUCGAACGGAAAGGCCCUGCUUGCAGGGUACUCGAGUGGCGAACGGGUGAGUAACACGUGGGUGAUCUGCCCUGCACUUCGGGAUAAGCCUGGGAAACUGGGUCUAAUACCGGAUAGGAGCCAUUUUUAGUGUGAUGGUUGGAAAGUUUUUUCGGUGUAGGAUGAGCUCGCGGCCUAUCAGCUUGUUGGUGGGGUAAUGGCCUACCAAGGCGGCGACGGGUAGCCGGCCUGAGAGGGUGGACGGCCACAUUGGGACUGAGAUACGGCCCAGACUCCUACGGGAGGCAGCAGUGGGGAAUAUUGCACAAUGGGCGCAAGCCUGAUGCGGCGAAGCCGCGUGGGGGAUGACGGCCUUCGGGUUGUAAACUCCUUUCGCUAGGGACGAAGCUUUUUGUGACGGUACCUAGAUAAGAAGCACCGGCUAACUACGUG